rnacentral:lncRNA from 1 species
UAAUACAACACAUUGAUCUACUUUAACAUUAUUUAAUAAUAAUAAUUUUUUUUUUCAAAUGAUUCUUGCUUCAAAAGCUAAAAAUUAUUUAAUUCACUUAAGAAGAACAAGAGCUUUAUGCUUUAUAAAUUAUAAAGUGAUACAAUUAUAUUCUACUUGACACAUUUAAAGAGAAGAAAAUAUGAAUAAAGUUGUCAGAUUAGUUUAUGUUAUGAUGAUUUUUCUUUCACCAUUUCUUACAACAGGGAGCAGAGUUUGUAAGCAUUUUUUUAUAUCAUUUUUGAAUUUUUCUUAUUUACUUCAUACACAAAAUUAUAUCUCAUCUACUAUAGUAUCAUUUUUUUAUUCUCUUAUUUUACAGGGUCUAUGACCUUAAAUAGUUGUGUUAAAGAUUCGGAUUGUCCACAAAAUAUUUGCUCAGAACCUUUUGCGGCUACAUGUUAUUUUGAUUGGUGUAAAUGUAUGAAAAACCGGAAUAAAUUUUGAUAAUUGGUAAGUUUUUUUAUGUCUAGCAAAUUUUUAUUACAAUUCUAUAAAGUUGAAAAACUAUAUAAUUAAUUUAAGUAGAGCAUUAGAUUUAUAAAGCAGUAAAAUUAUAAUCUACUUGCUCAUAUAUGCAAAUGGGGAAAUAUACGGGCUAAAUUGUCAAAUUUAUUUAAGUUAUAACUAUUAUCUUUUCUUAUUUAUUGUUUUGAUGAAAGUUAACGGUAAUUUAUUUUUUAUCAUUUUCAAAUUUCCUUUUUUUUAUACUUCAAACACAAUAAUUUAUCCAAUUAUAUUAAUAUUUUUUUUAUUACAGUGGAUACGAUUGGUGUCUAUAUGUUAGAAUGAUGCCAUGGAUUCUGAGUACCAGCACCAAGAGUGGACACAAACUCCCUAAUAGAAUAUUCUAUGAUUUUCUCUUAAUUAAUUGUGUUUAAUAUGGCUUUCCAUUUAAAAAAAACUUGAAUAAAAUCAAUAUAUAUUUGUAUUUGUUUAAGAACCAUAAUAGAAAUAUUUAAAUAUCCAUGAUUGAACAAAAGUUUAAAGUAGCAUUAUUGUUAUAUUUAUAUAACAAAAUAGGGAGUUGCUUAUCUUAUGUAUUUAAACAACGCAUUUCAAAGUGUGGAAUAUGUGUCACUUGGCUUUUUUUUUUGUGUGACAGUUUAUUUACUUUCAUACAUAUUUUAUGCAGUGGAUAUGCCAUAUUUUUACGCAUUAUUUUAAACAUGUUCAGUGGUGAAUGUUUGGGUGCUUCUCUUAAAGUUUUAGAUUCAAAUUUUGCUACGUGUAAACAAUUUUCGUGAUGAGACAAAUUUAUACUGACUUCAAAUAGAUUCUGUAAGUGGAUGGUGAAAUUGAUCUUCUUUAAUAAAUCGGUCAGCCUGGAUUAACCCAUGCAAAUCAAUUUCAAUGAUGAUUGUUAACCAAAAGAAAAUGAUUGCAUUAUAAGCGCGGUUGUAUGUUGAAAAAAAUUAUAUAUUAAAUAGCACUUUUAU